UACGGAGGGUGCAAGCGUUAUCCGGAAUCACUGGGUUUAAAGGGUGCGUAGGCAGUUAUGUAAGUCAGGGGUGAAAGGUCACAGCUUAACUGUGAGAUUGCCUUUGAAACUGUGUAACUUGAAUCAGAUAGGGGUUAGUGGAAUGCGACAUGUAGCGGUGAAAUGCAUAGAUAUGUCGUGGAAUACCGAUUGCGAAGGCAGCUAACUGGGUCUUGAUUGACGCUGAGGCACGAAAGCGUGGGGAGCGAACAGGAUUA
rnacentral:rRNA from 1 species